UAUCUAUAUGUAUAUAUAUAUCAUGAAUUUGAAGGAAAUCCUUAAUCAAUCACGGAUUCUUUUUGGCUCGCCUUUGAGAUUUUGUUUAACUUUUACUCCGCCUGUAACCUCUUAAAUGCAUUUGGUAUAGCAAGAUUUACUUGAAUAAGAUCAUUAAAGGAAAUCCUCAAGAAUCCUGUUCCAAUAAUUC